rnacentral:rRNA from 1 species
UCGACGGGAUUGGGAGCUUGCUCCCAUGAGAGUGGCGCACGGGUGAGUAACGCGUAUGCAACCUACCUUUAACUGAGGGAUAGCCCAUAGAAAUGUGGAUUAAUACCUCAUAGUUCUUUUGUUCCGCAUGGAAUGAAAGAUAAAGCUCCGGCGGUUAAAGAUGGGCAUGCGUGACAUUAGUUUGUUGGUGAGGUAACGGCUCACCAAGACUACGAUGUCUAGGGGUUCUGAGAGGAUGAUCCCCCACACUGGUACUGAGACACGGACCAGACUCCUACGGGAGGCAGCAGUGAGGAAUAUUGGUCAAUGGGCGCAAGCCUGAACCAGCCAUCCCGCGUGAAGGAUGAAGGCCCUAUGGGUCGUAAACUUCUUUUAUACACCAAGAAAAAGCAGGACGUGUCCUGCCCCGACGGUAGUGUAUGAAUAAGCAUCGGCUAACUCCGUGCCAGCAGCCGCGGUAAUACGGAGGAUGCAAGCGUUAUCCGGAUUUAUUGGGUUUAAAGGGUGCGUAGGCGGCUUUUUAAGUCAGUGGUGAAAUCCUGUCGCUUAACGAUAGAAUUGCCAUUGAUACUGAAAAGCUUGAGUACAAUUGAGGUAAGCGGAAUGUGUAGUGUAGCGGUGAAAUGCUUAGAUAUUACACAGAACACCGAUUGCGAAGGCAGCUUACUAAACUGUCACUGACGCUGAUGCACGAAAGCGUGGGGAGCGAACAGGAUUAGAUACCCUGGUAGUCCACGCCGUAAACGAUGAUCACUCGCUGUAUGCGAUACACAGUAUGCGGCCAAGCGAAAGCAUUAAGUGAUCCACCUGGGGAGUACGAUCGCAAGGUUGAAACUCAAAGGAAUUGACGGGGGCCCGCACAAGCGGAGGAACAUGUGGUUUAA